rnacentral:rRNA from 1 species
UAACACGUGGGUAACCUGCCUGUAAGACUGGGAUAACUCCGGGAAACCGGGGCUAAUACCGGAUGGUUGUCUGAACCGCAUGGUUCAGACAUAAAAGGUGGCUUCGGCUACCACUUACAGAUGGACCCGCGGCGCAUUAGCUAGUUGGUGAGGUAACGGCUCACCAAGGCGACGAUGCGUAGCCGACCUGAGAGGGUGAUCGGCCACACUGGGACUGAGACACGGCCCAGACUCCUACGGGAGGCAGCAGUAGGGAAUCUUCCGCAAUGGACGAAAGUCUGACGGAGCAACGCCGCGUGAGUGAUGAAGGUUUUCGGAUCGUAAAGCUCUGUUGUUAGGGAAGAACAAGUGCCGUUCAAAUAGGGCGGCACCUUGACGGUACCUAACCAGAAAGCCACGGCUAACUACGUGCCAGCAGCCGCGGUAAUACGUAGGUGGCAAGCGUUGUCCGGAAUUAUUGGGCGUAAAGGGAUCGCAGGCGGUUUCUUAAGUCUGAUGUGAAAGCCCCCGGCUCAACCGGGGAGGGUCAUUGGAAACUGGGGAACUUGAGUGCAGAAGAGGAGAGUGGAAUUCCACGUGUAGCGGUGAAAUGCGUAGAGAUGUGGAGGAACACCAGUGGCGAAGGCGACUCUCUGGUCUGUAACUGACGCUGAGGAGCGAAAGCGUGGGGAGCGAACAGGAUUAGAUACCCUGGUAGUCCACGCCGUAAACGAUGAGUGCUAAGUGUUAGGGGGUUUCCGCCCCUUAGUGCUGCAGCUAACGCAUUAAGCACUCCGCCUGGGGAGUACGGUCGCAAGACUGAAACUCAAAGGAAUUGACGGGGGCCCGCACAAGCGGUGGAGCAUGUGGUUUAAUUCGAAGCAACGCGAAGAACCUUACCAGGUCUUGACAUCCUCUGACAAUCCUAGAGAUAGGACGUCCCCUUCGGGGGCAGAGUGACAGGUGGUGCAUGGUUGUCGUCAGCUCGUGUCGUGAGAUGUUGGGUUAAGUCCCGCAACGAGCGCAACCCUUGAUCUUAGUUGCCAGCAUUCAGUUGGGCACUCUAAGGUGACUGCCGGUGACAAACCGGAGGAAGGUGGGGAUGACGUCAAAUCAUCAUGCCCCUUAUGACCUGGGCUACACACGUGCUACAAUGGACAGAACAAAGGGCAGCGAAACCGCGAGGUUAAGCCAAUCCCACAAAUCUGUUCUCAGUUCGGAUCGCAGUCUGCAACUCGACUGCGUGAAGCUGGAAUCGCUAGUAAUCGCGGAUCAGCAUGCCGCGGUGA